rnacentral:rRNA from 1 species
CGGCGGACGGGUGAGUAACGCGUGGGUAACCUGCCUCAUACAGGGGAGUAACAGUUAGAAAUGGCUGCUAAUACCGCAUAAGACCACAGUACCGCAUGGUACAGUGUGAAAAACUCCGGUGGUGUGAGAUGGAUCCGCGUCUGAUUAGCCAGUUGGCGGGGUAACGGCCCACCAAAGCGACGAUGGAUAGGGGUUCUGAGAGGAAGGUCCCCCACAUUGGAACUGAGACACGGUCCAA